CGUCUUACUUCAAUAUGGAGGAUGAGCGGAUGAAGCAAAUAGUAUUCUUUUGAGAGAUUAACUUCGGCCCAGUAGCUUCUCUGAAGAUAUCCUGGAGGAGUUCUUCCAUGUCAACCGUGAUAACAAAACAUUUUUAUUCACUUCCUAUGCGAUUUUAAAUAAAACGGGAAUUAUUUAUAGACAUAUACUGAGUCAAGAACAAGAUCUACGAUGAAGAGAAGUUCUGGAUUUUAGUAAUUGCGUAUUCUAUAAGUUGACGAGUGGGUGUUUCGCUUAUCAGUCGACUCGCGCCGCGGAGCAUGCUCAAUGCGAAAAUCAAUACUUUGGAUGUGUUUUCUUUUUAAGCUCUUUAUUGUAACAUCAACAGGUGGUAAAAUAAUUUAA